UUUUGCGAACCCAACGAGUACUCCACAAAACACAGAGUUCGCCGUCCGCGAAGCUCGCACAACGGGGCGCCCUCCAAAACCCUAACCCUAACCCUAACCAUAACUCUCCCCGCCGAUCUCCUCCGCCCUCCCAGGACCCGCUUGAGCGAGGGGAGGAUAGAGUAAGUGGGUUUGCUGGAACUCGCCGGAGAUCAUGGAUCGGACGGCGGGGAGGAGGGCUCGGCGAGGGGCUCGCGACCAGCACGAAAGGCGCCGGCCUUCGGACACCGAUCGGUGCCGUCAUUUCUCGGGCUGCCGCUCGGUGUCCGUUCUAUCAACAUCGGACGCCCCUAUUUCUUUUUUUUAAAAUUUUAUGUCUAUUUUCUUCUCACUCUUAUGAGUUGGUUUCGGUUUGAUUGUUCUCUCGUCUUUCGACGUCUUUCUGUGACCAUAUAAACCAUCCGAUCGUUGGGAUCGCAGCGGAUGAUGAAGAUUGGAGAUAAAAUCUAGGGUUUAGCUUGUGAGGAUUAUAGUGCGUCAACCUCUCUGGAUAUAGCGAGCGAGCGAGCAAGGGAAAGUUCUUGCGUCGGGUUUGUGAGAGCUAUUGAGAUCGACUCGAUUCCUCUUCUCUUCUUCUCGAAUCGUAGCAAUGUCAAGGUUAUAUGAUUCUCGCCACCUCUUUGUUUCUUCCCUUUUUUGAGUUUGGUGAUGAAAUGCUUUGCAUUGGUAUCAUUUUUAUUUUGAGCAGUGUGAAUAGAGUGAUGAAGAUCUUGUGAUUGUAGAGCAUCUUUGGAUACGAUGAAUGGUGGUUUCCACACGAGAUUUCUGACAUUUUCCGAGUAUUUAAUGAUGGAUUUUAUUUGAUUUUCUAUUUAUUUGUCUUUAUGAGGAUUUUAUAACUGUAGUUUAAUGCUAAUAUUGUUCGUGGGACUGUGUGUGGGUCUGAAGCCAAUGAUUUGAUUGUUUAUGGAGUGUUAUAGAAAGAAAUUCUCUCUUUUUGUUAAUUUUCUUUUGCUAACAAACAAAGUAGUACUCUUUUUUUUUUUUUACUUUUUAAUUCAUCAGGUUUAUCUAAAACAGAAGAAUGUAUUCUGAUCACUUUUGGUUUUUGAUUUUAACUGUAGCCAAUAAUUCUGUAAUUAAGAUAUACAUGCAUGUGGUUUACCUUUAAUACACUGUACCUGCAGUAGUGAGGUUGUGCAGCUUAAAGCACAUCAGGCACCCUUUAGCUCAUAUGUGCAUCUAUGCCCAGCAUGCAUCUUUAGCGAAUAGUUCUAGAGCAGUGCUUAGAAAGCCACCUUCUGACAAAUGCCUACAGCUUUGCCUUGUUGCUCAUCCGCAGGGGUGUGUCACAAUCAUUGAGGGGAUGUGGAGUCAGUAUUUUGACGAAUGACCUUCUAAAUAAUUCUUUUUUCAUCGACCUAUUUCAAUUAUUGGAAGAUUUUUUUUAAAAAGUUGAUUUGAAGUUUAAUGAAUAAGAUAUGUACCAGAUAUUUUUGCUUGCUAUUCCACUCCAUCUAAUUCGAUGUAAAACAAAAAAUAUUUGCUAACCAUUAACUCUUAAACAUUUAUUUUUUCAUUAAUUAACAUUGAACUUCUUGAUUCCAAGCUUGAAUUUUUCAGGUAGUUAAGUCUCUAGUCUAAUCCAAUCUUGAUCCUCAAAAUUGAAUGGUGCUUUUCUUAACCAACGAUGGCUUGCAUAUUUAUUUGUAUGCAUGAUGCUUUUGUCAGAGCAAGAUUUGCUUAAUAGUUCUCUCGUUCAAGUGGUUUUGGGAUUGCAUUUGCACAUCUGACCACAUGUCAUCUGUUGGACUAUGAGAGGCGUUCAUACAGAGUUUUCAAGGAAACUAGUUGUAGUGAAAUAUUUGGAGGUCACGAUGUAAAUUAUGAAGUUGGGCAUUAGAUGAUUUAAAUUAAUUUGCAUAAAUGAGUCUAACUUUUUAAAUUUAAUAUGGAAAAUUUUGUAUAAUAAUUUUCAUGCGGUUACUUUGCUUGUUUCUUUGUUUACAAGGAGUCUUCCUCGAUGUUGUUCUAUUGAAUUCUGAAAUAAUUCAUAAGUGGGUCUAGAUAAAACUCAUUUAUAUGGUGCUUGGACUAGUUUUUAUCCUCUUUCAUGGAAUCCUUUUGAGGUGCUAGCGAACCCCUACGAAGUGGGUUUGCAGGGUGAAGUUCAUUAGAUGUAUAGAUGGUUAUCAUUUAUUAAUGCAUGUGAGCAAGCACUACUUUGUAAUAUAUAAGCUAGAUUGAUGAAGAUCUUGUGCUAAUGCAGCAUUUUUCAAUGCAAUGAGCAGCACUCCACACGAGAUUUCUGACUAGCUAAGCUUACUCCACAUUUCAUCUAUUCAUGUAUGUAAGCUAGCACUAAUUUUUAAUAUAUAAACUAGAAUGAUGAGGAUCUUGUGCUAGUGCAGCAUUUUUCAAUGCAAUGAACAGCACUCCACACGAGAUUUCUGACUUGCUAAGCUUACACCACAUAACCAUGCAUUGAAGUUCAAACACAUAUAAUGCAUGCAUAGGAGGUGAUUGAAUCUGAUAGACAUCUUAAUUGAUGGUGUGAAUGUUCAAUUGCAAAAGAAUGUGUGCCGUCUGGGAAGUUGCUAUUUGCUUGGUCUGGUAAAAGCUGAAUAAAAAGAGGGAUCAAUUAUAAAACUUUUCAUUUCGAUGCAACAAUUGUAAAACUUUUCAUUUUGCUUCAAGUCAAUAUUUUUUUCUAACAAUUCUUAGGUCUCUUGUGUUUGUGUUUUGUCUACCACCUUCCUUUCCUGCUGAUUGUCGGAGGAUUUUUCUGAACAAGUGUCUCUGGCCACCAAUAGUUGGUACUGAAAGCAAUAUUUUCGCAUGCCCAAUCUUUAUUGACCAUGUUCUGCAAAAAUGUCCCAUACUUUUUGAUCUAAUUCAUUUUCAAUUCGUAAUAGAAGUUGAAGCUACGAUCUGCUUCUGUCAAAAAUUGGUUGCACUUCUAAUGGCCUUGGCAGUUGAUCUUUAUUGACCAUGUUCUGCAUGUGUUUAUGUCUUAAUACUUGUAAUAGAUCGGUAGAAAACCAGGGAACUCAUGAUUUGAAUAGUCCUAGUUGGACUCUAUCAAUGAUAAGGAGCAUCCGAGAUAUCUGAUCAAAUUGUUUUAUGUGUGUUUUUUGCCUCGUGUUCAAGUUUUCUUCAUGAAAGGAUGCCAGAGGGCUGAUUGUGAGGUCUAGCCUGGCUCAAUUUUUUUUUUGUUGAGAUAGGUCAUAGAAUUAGGCCCGUAGAAGAAUUUGGAUAUGCUUGAACGUGUUGACACACCUGACUUUUUCCAGAGUAUCACUUGGGACUGUUAAACUUUGGCAGAUACGAAUAUGGAUUGCUGAGCCGAUUUUGCUUCAUUCUAUAUUCCCUGAUCUCAGUAGGUUGUGAGAUUAUCUUCUACUUCAAUGGUUGCUUUUUUUGUUUUCUGUCUGAAACAAGGAGAGCAUUCUUCUUUGUAAUGCUUUCUUAUAUGAUUAUUCAAACAAUUAAAAACAUGGUAGUAAUAAAGACCCAUCAUCCAUGUAUAUGUAACUUCUGCAUUGAGUAUGAUUGUUAUUACUUUUGCUCAUGGGACGAUAUGUUAUCCAAGUUGAAAUAUUGAAAUUCAAACGCCACUUGAGCUUCAUGCAAAUUGCUCUCUCAUCUUUCUCAAAAUUUUGGGGCCUCUUUUGAUGUCAAUAUCGACCCUGUUACCCAGUCAUAGCAUUCAAUUCUGCAUUCCAUUGUGGUCUUCUGAGAAAUGUAAGUUUUAAAGGGAUAUGCUGUCUCGGGAGGAUAAGAUAAUUAAAAAACAAACCCAUCUGAUAUUCCAUCAACAAGAUGGUCUAAGGUAUUCUGUUGAUAUCGCAAUUCCUUUCAUCCAUAACAGAAGGUUGGAGCAGACAUCUUUCUCUUGGCCGACCUUUUCUUUUCCCUUUUUUCUCUUUCCAUCUCUUUCUAACUCAUCUUCUCUAUGCAACUCCCACGUGCAACUGAGAGAGUACUCCUAAUUAUAUGUAAAAAGGCCUCCUCAACACAGCUUUGAUCAGCAGUCAAGUGCUUCGAGCUGCAUAAUGGUGCCUCCUUUUCCCCUUCUGUCUUUGUCGUCGUGGGAUAUCAGUGUCUUUUUUGCCGCACCUGCUUCAAUUAGACUGUCGAGGAUGAAAGUUCCUUCAUCAACCAUCAACCCUUGCCCCCUUCAAUCUAUUGGAGAUCCAGUUCUCUGUUUGCCCCAAACAAAUCUACUCUGCAGAUUUCCAUCAAUAAUUAGAAUAUCAAGAUAAGUUAGGAGGGAAAGUUGUUCCCUCCUACUCUGAUCUCUUUUUCCCUUCCCCAUUCUCUUCAGCUUUCUUUGCCUCCAACCUGGCAUUAUUUAGUUACUGGCCUUGUCUGGGGGCAGUAAUUUCAUGUUAACCUGAGGAAGCGAUGAAAACGGAACUGAAUAUAUUAUUUUUGCUCUUGGAUAUGAAACAUAUAUAUAUAUAGUUUCAUGUGCGAGCAAAUCAGGAUCCAUUUAUAAGAUAAACAGCCAUCAAGUCAUGGGCCUGCUAACAAUGCGAGCCCAAGGGCCAGAAUUCUGCUGUUUACCUUGUCCACAUUCAUCUUCAUAUUGGUUUACAUGAUAUUUAUUUUGCUCAAACCAAUUCACAUCUUUAUUUCUCUGCAGCCAUUAUAGAUAGUUGUCAAACUAUGAUUGCUACCUCUAUUUCUACUAUGCGUAUUUUGAUAUAUAUGCACUUCUCUUACAUCUCUACUUCUAGCUACCAAGGUUCCUAGGUCCAUAUUGUUUUUACUUCUUUCUGACUCUUGGAGCACAAUCAUGACCUCUGGGUCAUGACCUUGACAAAAGUAAGUCCGAAUGAAUGGAAAAAACAUGGAUUACGGGGCAUUUUAUUGGCCCAGUAGAUGCAGAGCUCGGUCUUGUAGUUUUGACAAGAUAAAUAUCGUAAUUAAAAUGCUAAGUCAUCUAGUCAACAACCAGUUUUGGUUCUCUGCUUGUAAUUUUGUUCACUAUUGGCAUUGUCACAUGUUCUUGAGGCCUCCUCUUCCUUGCAUCAGCCUGCUUUAGACCAGUCGUGGUUGCGCCAUGCUAUGAAAAUUCAUAUGUAUGAGGCCAUUAUCCCUGAAACCAUGAACGAACCAUUAUAAGAGAGAUUCUAGAGUAUAUUUCUGAUGAUUAUAUGAUUCAAUUAAAUUUCAGAUCUACAUAACUGUAAUAUUGCUCGCUUCCCAUGCUUGCAAAUUAUAAUGGCAAUCGAUCAUGGCUUUCUGUAGCAUUUUAUGUUAACUAGUUUUGUGUAACUUGUUAGCCAUUCCAGGCCUGAAAGACUGUGUCAGUUUUCUAAAUAAAGCCAACUGAAGAACUCUCUCUCCAAAUUUUGUGGCUUCAUGCUUUUGAUUAGACACACUCUCUAAGUUCUUCUGUUAGUGUAUUUUUUUUAUAUACCCCAUAUUUUUCAUUAUAUUUUCUAUGUUGCUUACAACGGGUGAUCCAUUGUAGAUGUCGUCCAUGGUUAUUGAUGUAUUUCAGGACUUGGCAUUUGAUUCUUUAACACUGUAAACCUACUUAUCACCAUGCAUUCACUAUAAGGAUUAAGCUGCUACCUUCUCUUUUAAUUUGUUAAUUUGCAAUUCAUGUGUCUUAAGUCUGGUAUUGCUGAUUCCAUUUAUUUAUCUGUACCUAUAGAAUGGAGAACAGCAGUAAAAGAAGGAAGUCACAAGGACAAAACAAGCACAAGUAUAUCGGACAAGACAGCAUGAUCGAGUGCUUGUUGAGGUGAUGGUAGAGGAAAAUUUUAUUGGUGCGAAAGCAGGUUCGGGCUUUACAAGGGAUGCCUGGUUUGACAUGGUGGAUAGCUUCAGUGAUUGUACAAUGCUGCAUUAUGAUGUUGAUCAUUUGAAAAAUUGUCUGAAAUUUUAUAAAAGGGAAUUUGAGUAGUUAGUGGUAUAAAGAACUAUGUAGAUUUUACUUGGGAUCAUAAAAUGCAAAUGGCGAUUGCAGAUAAUGCUGAAUGGGAUGAAUAUGUUGCAAAAAAUCCUGAAACAAAGUCAUACUGGAUGAGUUGAGCUCCUUUUUUUAAGGAGUUGGAGAUUAUUUGUGGAUCGUCAUCAUCAAAAGGCAACGAUGCAUCCCCUUCUAGGAUUCGUGAUGUUGAAAAAUGGACACAAAUGGCAACUUGGGUCAAGGUAAUGGGACAUUGAACUCUUUUGUGGAUACCCCACAAACGUCUAGUGAUCCCAUAGCUACAUCUACUGAUGUACAUGCAGGGGUGCCUCAAGAUAUUCCUGAAACAGAAAAUGUCAACACCCAUCGAGCUUCACCUUCAAAUACCUCAAGAGGAAAUAGUAGGAAGUCUCGAUGUCAAUGAUGCAUUAUUAGCCUUGAGGGAAAUCACAUAAGCCUCAAAGAGACGAAUAUCAAGAGAAGAGGCUAAAGAUGAAAAGUUGAGCCUACUUGAUGAAUGCCUGGAAGAGCUUAAUCUCGUGAGAGACAUUGAUAAUGAGUUGUAUGUGCAGGCCCUAUUUAUCUUUAAGGAGGAAUAGAAUCAACACUUUCUUGAAGAGCAAAGGUCUUAGCAGGAUGAUGUAGUUGAAGGCAGCGACCAAAGACAUCAGUCUUUAGUGAUCUUUUAGAAUAUAAUCACCGCAUAUAAUCAACACGUUCUUGAGGACCACAGGUGUUAAGAGAAGUCUUUGUGUGAAGACAUGCUAACCGUUUCAUGUAAAAGUUCAAUUUCUCUUCAUAUAAAUGUGACAAAAUUUUUGCCUCAGCAAGUUCUUUUUUGAUUUUGAUCUUGUUCUAUAAUUUGAUUUUGCAUGGAAAUACAAGACACAGAAGGUCAAGGAUAACAUCAUCACAUAGUUUCCUAGUUCUUUGAGGUCUCAAAAUGUGACGUGCAAAUGAAUCUGAGGGCAAGACAUGCCUGUCAUGAAGAUGGCCCCUCCAACCACUUUAAUUUGUUGAGGUUGGCAUGACUUUUCUACAGAAGGGUUGAAUUGAAACGGAAUGUUCUUAUGGUUGAGCUAGCCGGUCAUUGGCUGGAGAGCUAAACAUUACUCAAGGAAAGAUGGCACAGUUUGAACUUUCAUUUGAUUUGUAACCAAUGAUUACCAUUUUGUUACAAUUGGUACUGCAAGUAUGAUCAAAACUCUUCAUGGGAAUAGACAAAAUUUCUGCUCAUCCUCCAACAAUCAAUGCAUCUUCUCAGUUGUUAGAUCACUGGGUUGUUGAGAUGAGUAUUGUUGGGUUCAGUUGCCCAGCUGUGAGCUUCAGUAUUUUGAUUGAUUUCAGAUGUUCUCUUCCUCUCUUGGCAGGCUCUCCAUACUUUGUCAGCUGUUGCCAUGUAAGGAUGUUCAUGGAUGCCUGUGUUUAUCAGCUUAUUUUGAAGAAGUUGAUACAAAUGUAAGCUUCAUGAGCGUAGGAUAAUCUUGGUCCUCUCCCUUCUGUGGAAAGAGCUUACAAUAUCCUUGUACCUUUCCUAAGUAUCGCAUGCAUAUGGAUGAGCACUUUGGCUAUAAAUAGGGAGCGAAAAGCUGCUGAUUUUAAUUUGAUUCCAUUCUCUUGAUA